AAGCGUCGGUCUACGGAACCAAAGGUUGCAGGUUCGAGUCCUGCUGUGGUCG
rnacentral:tRNA from 1 species